rnacentral:rRNA from 1 species
GAUGAACGCUGGCGGCGUGCCUAAUACAUGCAAGUCGAGCGAAUGGAUUAAGAGCUUGCUCUUAUGAAGUUAGCGGCGGACGGGUGAGUAACACGUGGGUAACCUGCCCAUAAGACUGGGAUAACUCCGGGAAACCGGGGCUAAUACCGGAUAACAUUUUGAACCGCAUGGUUCGAAAUUGAAAGGCUGCUUCGGCUGUCACUUCUGGAUGGACCCGCGUCGCAUUAGCUAGUUGGUGAGGUAACGGCUCACCAAGGCAACGAUGCGUAGCCGACCUGAGAGGGUGAUCGGCCACACUGGGACGGAGACACGGCCCAGAAUCCUACGGGAGGCAGCAGUAGGGAAUCUUCCGCAAUGAACGAAAGUCUGACGGAGCAUCGCCGCGUGAGUGAUGAAGGCUUUCGGGUCGUAAAACUCUGUUGUUAGGGAAGAACAAGUGCUAGUUGAAUAAGCUGGCACCUUGACGGUACCUAACCAGAAAGCCACGGCUAACUACGUGCCAGCCGCCGCGGUAA